rnacentral:lncRNA from 1 species
CCUGCUCAGCCCCGCCCCGGCGACACCUCCAACCCUGUAACAAUGAUGGUCUGAGAUGUGCUAACAGCCCACGGUUUGAUUGACCUUGUUUUCCUUCCCCGUGACUUCUGUGUUUUCUCUCCCAUCAUGAAGCCGUUUUCUUUAGACGGUUUCCUUUAUCCGAGUAAGAAUUUAAAAAAUAAAUAAUUAAAAAGAGGAGGGCAGGUGGGAGCCACACCCCUCGCUGAUCUUCAGAGGGCGUGUCUAGAUGUCCAACUGUGAGGGAAGUGUGUCAGUGGGAUAUCAUGCAGCACGGUCAAACUCUUAUGCGGUCCCUACGCCGGUCACACACAGGGAACGCCAAUCCAGGGAAGCAAGCUGCGGCUGCCAGGGUACUUGUCAGGGAAAGGUUUCCACUCCGGGGAGGACAACGCCUUGAUAACGACCGCAGCCUCCAGAGUCCGAACGCAGUUUGCUGAGUCCAGGAAGACGCCCAGCCGCCCUGGAAGCAGAGCCGGAAGCAAAGCCGGGAGCAGAGCCAGCAGCCGCCGAGGCAGCGACGCGUCCGACUUUGACAUUUCAGAAAUCCAGUCUGUGUGCUCAGACGUGGAGACCGUCCCACAGACACACAGACCUGCGCCCCGAGCAGGUUCUCGGCCAUCCACAGCCAAGCCUUCUAAAAUCCCCACGCCCCAGAGGAAGUCACCCGCCAGCAAACUAGACAAGUCUUCGAAGAGAUAGUGCAGUUGGCUCCGACCAGCCCUCCCCUGAGCAUUUAUUAUUUAAGUGAAUGAUGUAAAAUACGAUGUAGAAAUUACUGUGAAAUAUUGCAGGAGGCAAGUUUUAAAUUCUGCAGAUGGCCUUAUUUGUGUAUUUG